rnacentral:rRNA from 1 species
GGCGGACGGGUGAGUAAUGUCUGGGAAACUGCCCGAUGGAGGGGGAUAACUACUGGAAACGGUAGCUAAUACCGCAUAACGUCGCAAGACCAAGAGGGGACCUUCGGGCCUCUUGCCAUCGGAUGUGCCCAGAUGGGAUUAGCUAGUAGGUGGGGUAACGGCUCACCUAGGCGACGAUCCCUAGCUGGUCUGAGAGGAUGACCAGCCACACUGGAACUGAGACACGGUCCAG